GUGAAAUGAUGAUGAAGUUUAUCCAUUCUCUGAGUGUCGCUGCUCUGCCCUUCCUGCUACGUUCAGGUCUCCGUUCUGGGGUCUUGGAUGAAAGGCCUCCAGGCAUCUUUCAGCCUUCUGGAGUUCUUCUGGGGGCUGGGAGCAUGGCUGGUUGGCUGCUGGCAAGGCCUGGGCAGGGGCUGCGGGGCCAGAGCACCUUUCUGAGGGGCUCUGACACCAACCAAGAAGAAUGAAACUGUCUGAUCAC
rnacentral:snoRNA from 11 species